UACAGAGGGCCCAAGCGUUGUUCGGAUUCACUGGGCGUAAAGGGUGCGUAGGCGGUGAGGUAAGUCGGAUGUGAAAGCUCGGAGCUCAACUCCGAAAUGGCAUUGGAAACUACCUUGCUCGAGGGUUGGAGGGGGGACUGGAAUUCUCGGUGUAGCAGUGAAAUGCGUAGAUAUCGAGAGGAACACCAGUGGCGAAGGCGAGUCCCUGGACAGCUCCUGACACUGAGGCACGAAAGCUAGGGGAGCAAACAGG
rnacentral:rRNA from 1 species